UUGGCGAAGUCAGUGAUCCUAUGCUACCGAGAAAAGCCUCUAGUGAGUGGCACCGCGGCCCGUACCCCAAACCGACACAGGUGGUCAGGUAGAGAAUGCCAAGGCGAUCGAGUGAACCAUGGUUAAGGAACUCGGCAAAAUGCCCCCGUAACUUCGGGAGAAGGGGGGCCCCGGCCGGUGACAGGACUUGCUCCUGAAGCUGGCUGAGGCCGCAGAGACCAGGCUGAAGCGACUGUUUACUAAAAACACAGGUCCAUGCCAAGUCGCAAGACGAUGUAUAUGGACUGACGCCUGCCCGGUGCUGGAACGUUAAGGGGACGGGUUAGCGCGCAAGCGCGAAGCUCAGAACUUAAGCGCCAGUAAACGGCGGUGGUAACUAUAACCAUCCUAAGGUAGCGAAAUUCCUUGUCGGGUAAGUUCCGACCUGCACGAAUGGCGUAACGACUUCAGCGCUGUCUCAACCGUGGACUCGGCGAAAUUGCACUACGAGUAAAGAUGCUCGUUACGCGCGGCAGGACGAAAAGACCCCGGGACCUUUACUAUAGCUUUGUAUUGGUGGUUGGUUCGGCUUGUGUAGGAUAGGUGGGAGACUGUGAAGCAGGGACGCCAGUUCUUGUGGAGUCGUCCUUGAAAUACCACUCUGGUCGUACUGGCUGUCUAACCUAGGUCCGUGAUCCGGAUCAGGGACAGUGCAUGGUGGGUAGUUUAACUGGGGCGGUUGCCUCCUAAAGAGUAACGGAGGCGCCCAAAGGUUCCCUCAGCCUGGUUGGCAAUCAGGUGUCGAGUGCAAGUGCACAAGGGAGCUUGACUGUGAGACCGACGGGUCGAGCAGGGACGAAAGUCGGGACUAGUGAUCCGGCGUCGGCAUGUGGAAGCGACGUCGCUCAACGGAUAAAAGGUACCCCGGGGAUAACAGGCUGAUCUUCCCCAAGAGUCCAUAUCGACGGGAUGGUUUGGCACCUCGAUGUCGGCUCGUCGCAUCCUGGGGCUGGAGUAGGUCCCAAGGGUUGGGCUGUUCGCCCAUUAAAGCGGUACGCGAGCUGGGUUUAGAACGUCGUGAGACAGUACGGUCCCUAUCCGCCGUGCGCGUAAGAGUCUUGAGAAGGGCUGUCCCUAGUACGAGAGGACCGGGACGGACGAACCUCUGGUGUGCCAGUUGUCCUGCCAAGGGCACGGCUGGUUGGCUACGUUCGGAACGGAUAACCGCUGAAAGCAUCUAAGCGGGAAGCCGGCUUCAAGAUGAGGACUCUCACCGGGUUAACCGGGUAAGGCCCCCAGCGAGACCACUGGGUUGAUAGGCCGGAGGUGGAAGUGCAGCAAUGCAUGGAGCUGACCGGUACUAAUAGGCCGAGGGCUUGACCA
rnacentral:rRNA from 1 species